GGCUAACUCCGUGCCAGCAGCCGCGGUAAUACGGAGGAUGCGAGCGUUAUCCGGAUUUAUUGGGUUUAAAGGGUGCGUAGGCGGCCUGUUAAGUCAGCGGUGAAAUCUAGGAGCUUAACUCCUAAAUUGCCAUUGAUACUGGCGGGCUUGAGUGUAGAUGAGGUAGGCGGAAUGCGUGGUGUAGCGGUGGAAUGCAUAGAUAUCACGCAGAACUCCGAUUGCGAAGGCAGCUUACUAAGGUACAACUGACGCUGAAGCACGAAAGCGUGGGUAUCAAACAGGAUUAGAUACCCUGGUAGUCCACGCAGUAAACGAUGAUAACUGGGCGUAUGCGAUAUACAGUAUGCUCCUAAGCGAAAGCGUUAAGUUAUCCACCUGGGGAGUACGCCGGCAACGGUGAAACUCAAAGGAAUUGACGGGGGCCCGCACAAGCGGAGGAACAUGUGGUUUAAUUCGAUGAUACGCGAGGAACCUUACCCGGGAUUGAAAUGUAGAUGACCGCUCCUGAAAGGGAGUUUUCCUUCGGGACAUCUAUGUAGGUGCUGCAUGGUUGUCGUCAGCUCGUGCCGUGAGGUGUCGGCUUAAGUGCCAUAACGAGCGCAACCCCUGUCUACGGUUGCCAUCAGGUGAUGCUGGGAACUCCGUAGAGACUGCCGUCGUAAGGCGUGAGGAAGGUGGGGAUGACGUCAAAUCAGCACGGCCCUUACAUCCGGGGCGACACACGUGUUACAAUGGUGGGGACAAAGGGCAGCUACCUGGCGACAGGAUGCGAAUCUCCAAACCCCAUCACAGUUCGGAUCGGAGUCUGCAACUCGACUCCGUGAAGCUGGAUUCGCUAGUAAUCGCGCAUCAGCCAUGGCGCGGUGAAUACGUUCCCGGGCCUUGUACACACCGCCCGUCAAGCCAUGGGAGUCUGGAGUACCUAAAGUCCGUAACCGCGAGGGUCGGCCUAGGGUAAUACAGGUGACUGGGGCUAAGUCGUAACAAGGUAGCCGUACCGGAAGGUGCGGCUG
rnacentral:rRNA from 1 species